rnacentral:rRNA from 1 species
UACGUAGGGUGCGAGCGUUUGUCCGGAAUUAUUGGGCGUAAAGGGCUCGUAGGCGGUUUGUCGCGUCGGGAGUGAAAUCCACUGGCUUAACUGGUGGCUUGCUUUCGAUACGGGCAGACUGGAGGUAUGCAGGGGAGAACGGAAUUCCUGGUGUAGCGGUGAAAUGCGCAGAUAUCAGGAGGAACACCAAUGGCGAAGGCAGCACUCUGGGACGUGACUGACGCUGAGACGCGAAAGCGUGGGGAGCAAACAGG